GAUGAACGCUGGCGGCGUGCCUAAUACAUGCAAGUCGAGCGAAAAGACGAUGAGCUUGUUCCUUUGACGUUAGCGGCGGACGGGUGAGUAACACGUGGAUCACCCACUUUUCAGUCUGGGAUAAUUUCGGGACACCGGCGCUAAUCCCGUAUAAUCUCUUGCACCGCAUGGUUCAAUAGUGAAUGACGGCUUUGCUGUCUCUAAUAGCUGGAUCCGGGCCGCAUUAGCUAGUUGGUACGGUAACGGCUUAUCAAGGGAACGAUGCGUAGCCGAACGGAGAGGGGGAUCGGCGACAUGGGAGCUGGGACACGGUCCAGACUCCUACGGGAGGGAGCAGUAGGGAAUCGGCGGCAAUGGGCGAAAGCCUUACGGAGCGACGCCGCGUGAGUUAUGAAGGCCUUCGGAGCGGAAAGCUCGGUUAUUGGGUAAGAACAGAUGUGGAAGUAACUAUGCACGUCGUGACGGUACCGAGUCAGAAAGCCCCGGCUAACUACGUG
rnacentral:rRNA from 1 species